rnacentral:tRNA from 1 species
UUUUGAAUUAUACUAAUUGAACAAUGAAAAUGUAGUGUUUUUGUUUAAACCACAUUAGUAGAAAU